rnacentral:sRNA from 1 species
ACUUGGUGCUCUGGGCGACCAAUGGGGCGAUAGCAAGGCGCGUGGGCUACCUGGCUUUGGGUUUCUCGGAACCAAAUUUGGUUUGACCCUAUCAAUACCUAUUCGGUACUCAGUUCUCAGGUUCCGUCCUCAAGACCCACAGCAUGACAAGCUUCCACACUGUCUCCCGCGAUGUACCCGAGAAAUGGUGAAAUAGUCACUUCCGAGCCUUGUCAUUCACCGGCCAGAAAGGACUUGCGACCUGGGACCAAGGUUUAUGAAAUGGAUUGUCUGACUGGUCCAGAGGACCCUUUAAGGUUAGACUCUGGAGAAGAACCGGUCAGAAGUCUACUACAGGGACUGGACAGAUGGCUCAACGGCUAAGAGCACCACUAACUGUUCUUCCAGAGGUCCUGAGGUCGAUUCCCAACACUGACAAUCACUUGUUUUGGAGACACAGAGCCAAUAUGAGAGGAGAGAACAUGUGAUUUUUGUCCCUACUUCAAAGAAUUUAAUCUGGACAUCAGCAUAAAAUUAAAAAAAAAAAAAGAGAGGAGUUAAAGAUCCUAUUCCCCUAACCUUGUCUUGUGGGAGAGGAUGUCGAGACUUGCAGAAACUUGAUGUACCAGGUAGUUGAAGAAAUGAAAACUGUCACUCCUGCUGCUCAUUCUAGUUCACAAGUCUUUACAGGCACACAAGACCUUGGUUCUACUUCACCUUAAAGAGAAGUGAACAGCCAGAUGUUUGCUCCUUGGAACAUUACACCACAAGAAGAGAUCAUCCUGAUUUACAUAGAACGUUCCAGGGACAAAGAGUGGAGCAGAGUCUGAAGGAAAGACCAUCCAGAGACUGCCCCACCUGGGGAUCCAU